AAUUUCAAGAUCAGAAUAGCAAACUUUUCUUGUGGUCACUUAUGAUCCUCUGCAGCAGUCUGUGCUUCUUCCUGUUCUUUUCCUCUAGUACAAUAUAUGGUGGUGGGGAGAGCAAAAGAGGAGUUGAAAUUACACCAAGUACCAGUUCUAUGACAAGCUAGACUCUACUGAAUGAUGGGGAUGCAAUGGUGAGCAGAAAUGACAUGAUCCCUGCUAUAGGCUAACUUGUAUUCCUGCCCCCGCCACCGUGUACUUUAAAACUUAACCCCUAGCACCUCGGAAUGUGACUGAUUUGGAGAUAAGGCCUUUAAAGAAGUGAUUAAGUUAAAACGAGGCCAUGAGAGUGGGCCCUGAUCCAAUCUGAUUAGUGUCCUUACAUGGACACACAAAGAUAAACCACGGAUCUACAGACACACAGAAACAACCAUAUGAGAACACAGCACAAAAGUAACCAUCUGCAAGCAAAGGAGAGAAGCCUCCAAAGAAACUACAUCUGCCUACCAACACACUGAUCUCAGACUUCCAAGUGUGGCAGGAUCCCAUCUAUUCCUCAAACACUCCCUCUGGCUAUCUUUUGGAGAAGUGGAAAGGGCCAGAAUGGAGGUGAAUUAGAAGCUACAGCAGUGUCAAGGUUUGUAGCCAUGGCAGAGGAAAGCUGCUC